AUUGAACGCUGGCGGCAUGCUUUACACAUGCAAGUCGGACGGCAGCACAGAGAAGCUUGCUUCUUGGGUGGCGAGUGGCGAACGGGUGAGUAAUAUAUCGGAACGUACCGAGUAAUGGGGGAUAACUAAUCGAAAGAUUAGCUAAUACCGCAUAUUCUCUGAGGAGGAAAGCAGGGGACCUUCGGGCCUUGCGUUAUUCGAGCGGCCGAUAUCUGAUUAGCUAGUUGGUGGGGUAAAGGCCUACCAAGGCGACGAUCAGUAGCGGGUCUGAGAGGAUGAUCCGCCACACUGGGACUGAGACACGGCCCAGACUCCUACGGGAGGCAGCAGUGGGGAAUUUUGGACAAUGGGCGCAAGCCUGAUCCAGCCAUGCCGCGUGUCUGAAGAAGGCCUUCGUGUUGUAAAGGACUUUUGUCAGGGAAGAAAAGGCUGUUGCUAAUACCGACAGCUGAUGACGGUACCUGAAGAAUAAGCACCGGCUAACUACGUG
rnacentral:rRNA from 1 species